UCUCAAAUAAUUUUUAAUGAAAUGGUACAUUUCUAAAAUUUUAAAGAUUUUUUUUCAAAUAAUUGUUCUUGUAACAGGAUUACUAGUGUAUCUCAAAUUCCACCGAAUGAGACUAAGUCGUGUAUGUAUUUUAGUAAAUGAGCAUAAAUUGUAUUGUGUUGUGCAAAUUUCUAGCUGCACCUGAACGCAACACAGCACUUUUUCUUUACAUAUUCUAAAUGGAGAACGUUCAGGCAGAAGAUCAACGUGUCUUUCUUCAUUCCCACACGACCAGGCAGAUUCUGCCGCACUGCUUGGUUUGAUGUUGUUCGUUUGGUUGCCAUGACAAGCCUGUGACACCUGGCCCAGCUGCGACGGCUCACUUCAUCAUCACCGCCUGCCUACUUGAGGAGCUCCUGGACCAGUAUUCAUCGCCAUUCCGUUGCCCCUGAUGGAAACCCCAAGCCAUGAGUGGUCGCCUGAAUCAGCCGUUGUCCGGAACCUUCACCAGGUCUGCCUCAUCCGACCUCACCACGAGCCUCUGCCGAAUCGCCGACUUCACGGACCCUACGGACGGAUCCUCUAGUGACGCCACAGGAAUCUGCCUCUCGCUCUCCGGACCUCCAGGAACUGUGCUCUUCCAAUCUAACCUGAUCAUUAAAUCCGCUUAUUCGCCACGCCA